GUGAAUCAUCGAAUCUUUGAACGCAAAUUGCACUCUCUUCGGAGAGUAUGCCUGUUUGAGGGUCAGCCUAAAAAAAAUCGACCUUGUUUCUGUUUCGCGGUUACAUUCGUCGGAAAUUUGGUCAUCUUUAACCUUUUGGUUUAAGCGGCUUUAAAUUUUCUUUACGAUUUCAAGAACGUUUCUAAGAUUUUAUUUUCUUUUUCCUUUAAGGUAUCGAUCUUUAUUAGACGUUGCCGUUGCAUUGGAUUCCGUCCCUAAAUUU
rnacentral:misc_RNA from 1 species